rnacentral:lncRNA from 1 species
AAAGAUCACAUCACUCUCAUUGGAUGACUGAUGCCUCUAGUUGAAUAAUAACAUUCAACUCGCAUGCAUAUGCAUUCUUACAUGCUUUCUUAACAGAAAAAUAUGCAACUUCCGGAGUUCCGUAAAAUAUAUAAUGUUAUGUCAUUAUAACUUACUAACCAAACUUGUAUCGAAUGCCAUAUGUAUUACAUUAAUAUAACAUCAGUAAUUAAAAUAGAUAACAUAUUAUACACCACUGCUAUACAUGGCAAAGUCGAACUAUUGAAGGGUUAAUAAAAUGCAUGUAAUCUCUCGAUAUUGUGAAAUGAUAUGUAUCUAAAAGGCAGUCUUUUUGACCAUUCUCGAGUCCCUUUAUUUGUUUGCAGUACAUAAGGAAAGAAAGGUAGGGAAAAACUUAGACCAAAUUACCCCACCUUUUUAAUAAUAAAACACCGUUAGAAAAUUGCACAACAGUUAAGAUAUCUAAAUUAGGCUUGAAUUAGAGCUGAAGAGCAAUUCUUUGUACUUAACAUGCAUCUAUUCCACCUGAAGAAUCACAGGCUACUUUUCUUAACCUUUUU